rnacentral:lncRNA from 1 species
CCGGCGAAGACGAUGAAGACGGGCUUGUUGCUGCCGGUGUUGAUUCUGAAGGAGGAGACGACAAUGGUGGCGACGGUGUAGUAGCCGGAGCGAAGGGGGAAGGUGGGUAUGAUGGAGGGAUGGUGGAUGGAUAGGGUGAUAGGGAAGGUGGGGAAGGUGGGGAUGAAGAUGAUGGAGGUUGGGUGACAGGGGAAUUGGAAUUUGGAGUUGGGGCAUAGGGGUAGGGUGAUUGAGAUGUUGGGGAAGGAGUGUUUGGAGGUGACGGAAUGUAGGGAGGUUGGGAAAUGGGAGAAGGAGUGGUGGAUGGUGGUGUGGAAAUGUAAGAAGGUGGCUGGGAUAUUGGGGAAGGAGUGGUGGAUGGUGGUGUGGAAAUGUAAGGUGGCUGGGAUAUUGGGGAAGGAGUGGUGUUUGGAGGUGAUGGGAUGUAAGGAGGCUGAGAUAUUGGGGAAGGAGUGUUUGGAGGUGAUGGGGUGUAAGGAGGCUGGGAAGUAGGAGAAGGAGUAUUGGGUUGUGGAGGCACAUAAGGUGACUGAGAAAAGGGUGAUGGGGUUAUUGGAACAAAGGGUGGUUGAUGAUGAGGGGAAGGGGUGUUUGGAGGUAGAGGAGCAUGGGGUGGAUGGUUAUUAGGGGAAGGAGCAUAAGUGGGAGAAGGUGUGUUGGGAGGUAUGGGAGCAUAGGGUGGUUGAGCUUUGGGAGGAAAGGGAAGAUUAGUAGGAGGUGAAGGUGCUUCUGGAGGAGUAUAAACAGGGGGAGGAGUUUGAUGAGGUGGAUAAGGAGCUUUUGGAGGAGAAUAUGGAGGAGGCUCUCUCACAGCCAACACCACAAUAAUAAGUUUCUGACCCUUCUCACAAUUAUAAUCUUUUCCACUGAUGAAAUAAAAGGGACCCGAACGAUCAAACUGAAACUGGGAGGCACCAUCCUCAAACUUCUUGAUCGGGUUCUUCUUGUUACAUUUCUCAUAAUCCUCUUUGUUCACCACCAAAACCGAGUCCGAUCC